rnacentral:rRNA from 1 species
GACGAACGCUGGCGGCGUGCUUAACACAUGCAAGUCGAACGGAAAGGCCCUGCUUUUGUGGGGUGCUCGAGUGGCGAACGGGUGAGUAACACGUGAGUAACCUGCCCUUGACUUUGGGAUAACUUCAGGAAACUGGGGCUAAUACCGGAUAGGAGCUCCUGCUGCAUGGUGGGGGUUGGAAAGUUUCGGCGGUUGGGGAUGGACUCGCGGCUUAUCAGCUUGUUGGUGGGGUAGUGGCUUACCAAGGCUUUGACGGGUAGCCGGCCUGAGAGGGUGACCGGCCACAUUGGGACUGAGAGACGGCCCAGACUCCUACGGGAGGCAGCAGUGGGGAAUAUUGCACAAUGGGCGGAAGCCUGAUGCAGCAACGCCGCGUGCGGGAUGACGGCCUUCGGGUUGUAAACCGCUUUCGCCUGUGACGAAGCGUGAGUGACGGUAAUGGGGAAAGAAGCACCGGCUAACUACGU